CACACCGCCCGUCACACCAUGGGAGUUGUUUGGACCAGAAGUCGCUGUGCUAACCCGCAAGGGAGGUAAGCGCCUAAGGUCUGAAUAGCGACUGGGGUG
rnacentral:rRNA from 1 species